AGCCAUGACGAUAUUUUGCUAUAUCUGC
rnacentral:sRNA from 1 species